rnacentral:lncRNA from 1 species
UCCUUUCCAUACCUUCCAAGGAUUUUUAGGAUCGUGGGAUUUAUGGACCUGCAAAAUCCUCUGGAGAACAUCAGCCACCGACAAAACCAUCUGGAAAUUCCUGCUGUCUUUUUGCCCUGUCUUUCCUGAGUCACCGAGUCUUGGGAAGGAAGCAUCUCUGCUCUGAGGAUUACAGCAAAUCAGUUGCUUGCCGUCCUUACUGGAAUACCUUCCCUUUCAGUUGCUCAGAACAUAGCAAUUACUGAAGAAGGCAGAAGGAUAUUUUUUCCCUUUCACCGAGCUUUUGCAGCGCAGCAGUGGCUGUGUCCGGCUAUGUAGAUGGUUUCCACAUUCUCUACCCAAUUUCUUUUCCUGAUGUUUAGGAACUGAAUCAUUCUGUUUCCCUACUAGCCUCUGCUAAAGGUCUCGCUUGACUGCAAAAAGGAGAAAGGAGGAGUGUGUGCAGGGAGUUCAGGUCCUGCUGUGGCUUCUUGGGAGGUGAGUACUCAAACUUGCUUUAUACAGAAGACAGCAGAAAGCCACAAAAUUGGAGCCUCAGUAAUUUCUUUACACCCACCAUUUGCCAGUGUUCUGGAUUGGAAACCAACUGCAACAGCUACUGAGAGUCUCAUUCCUCCUCCACGUGAACCUCCUUCCAGGGAACUGUGAAAAUUCCCACUUCCAUCUCCUUCGCAUACUGGGGUUUCAUGACCAUUAAAACCCGUUCCUGGAACCAUGGGAUGGCCCCACAGCAUGCUUUUGAUCCAGCUCAGAUGUGGGCUUCUCCGUGGGAUGAGUGCCCAGCAAGUCCAGCCAUCAAAACCUACCUAGACCCUAUGGAGCUGCAUGCUCUGACUCAUCCCUACUGAAAUGUCCCCACACCCUGCCCCAGGGCUGUGCAUUCCUGGGCACUGGUUGCCUGUGCCUCAUGAGGUCUUUCUACCAAACUCAUCACUUUGGCUUGGUUCUGCAUCACCACACUGAAACUGUGCAAACUGCAAGCCACCAAACUGUACCUGUGAGCCACCUCACGGGGCACAUGUCCCACAGUGGCUUGGCUGCUGGACCACUCAGGGUGGGAUGCGCAACACACUGCAAGGAAUUUAGUUCAGCACUGGUGCUGGUAGAGCACGGAGCUGGG